rnacentral:lncRNA from 1 species
CCUGUGAUGGGGUACUGCCAAGAACUCUGGAGAUCCCGCCACAUUAUGGCUUUGGCCAUACCGAGAGCUCUCCACUGAGAACGUCAGGCAGAAGAGACCUGGGGCUGGUUGCCUGAGUACUGCCAGGGGAAACGAGAAGAGGAGCAAGCAGUACAGUUGUCCUUAGAUAUGUUUCGAAGUGAUUGAUGCUACUUGUAAUAGAGUGCGGAAAAGUUCAAGGCGAAGAAACCAUAGCAGUAAAGAUAAUCAGGGAGCAAUGGAAACUUCAUCACCUCACUUCAGCGAUUGCUAGAGCAACAGUCAGAGGCUCAACAAGAGGCUGGAAGAACAUUGUGGUCUCCACCUCGCAGAAUAGCAGAUAUCUGGAGAAGACGCCAGGACAGCAGAAGAUGCUUUUUUUCUCAAGUGCGCGUGGAACAUUCCUUACAACAUUAGACACAAAAGGAAGCUUAGUUCAUCUACAAGGAUUAAAAAUACGACGUAUGUUCUAUGACCAUGAUUAAACGAGUUUGAAAAAAGAAUAUUAGAGCCUUCUGCAUUAAGAGGAGAAACGGGAUCUGCUCGGUGCUCCCACGUAGGGAUGCUUGGGACACGAUUUAGGAAAGAGCCUGAAUUCUUGGGGUCUAGGUUUCAUUAUCUGGGGCCUACUGCCUGCUGCGCUGUCUGCCACUGAUGCGCCCAGCUAGAUCCAGUUCUGGAGGAUUCUGAACAACUUCCAAUGACCAGAUCUGUUUGUAGGACUGGAGGAAUAUGGUGGAGAACAUAAUCAGAAUAGAGAGGAAAAUAAGGUGAAGG